UUUUGGCUAAUGACGGCUUUCCUUGCAUUUGAGCUUGGUUUGUGGCUGUUAGCUGUGUGGUUUCGGGGAUGUCUACCGUAAAGGUGCAUGAGUGGUGUUUGGUUUGUUACGGGUGGUUGGCUCUUUGCUUGCGCAACAACUUCCACCUGGCAUACCUCUUCAGUUUUGUGUCAAUGCUUGUAUCGCAUUGAAUGCAUGGUGGGUUUCUUGUGUUGCAUGCCUAAUUGAUGGUAUCGUUUGACGAUGUUUAUUUUCGUCUUGUGUUGCACAUGCGAUGCGAGAUGAACCUUGAAGCAGCCUUUGUGAUCCACUCUUUUGAUGCACACGUGUUGAUUUUGUGGCUUAUUGAGUGUCUGCUUGGUCUCGUGGAUAUGGAACAUUGUGUGGGCAUGUGAACUUUUAGUAGCUCCUUGUUUGCCCCAGUUAAGCUUUUCAAAUACGAUUUCCUAUCAUGUCUUGACGUGGUAGGCUAUAUCGAAUAUGAAUG
rnacentral:misc_RNA from 1 species